AUGUCGGAAUACUCUGGAAACAACUGGUUCUCUGUAUUGUUGACCAUUUUAAUUAUCAAUAAAUCUUUGUUUAACAAUACAGAGAACCAGUUGUUUCCAGAGUAUUCCGACA
rnacentral:sRNA from 1 species